rnacentral:rRNA from 1 species
UACGUAGGUGGCAAGCGUUGUCCGGAUUUACUGGGCGUAAAGAGCGCGCAGGCGGUCGUUCAAGUCGCGUGUGAAAGCCCCCGGCUCAACUGGGGAGGGUCACGCGAUACUGAUCGACUCGAAGGCAGGAGAGGGAAGUGGAAUUCCCGGUGUAGUGGUGAAAUGCGUAGAUAUCGGGAGGAACACCAGUGGCGAAGGCGACUUCCUGGCCUGUUCUUGACGCUGAGGCGCGAAAGCUAGGGGAGCGAACGGGG